rnacentral:misc_RNA from 1 species
AACGCACAUUGCGCCCGCCAGCACUCUGGCGGGCAUGCCUGUCCGAGCGUCAUUUCCACCCUCAGGCCCCAGCGGCCUGGAGUUGGGGCCCUGCGGCGCCCACCGCCCCCCCCGGGGGGGUCGCGGCCCGCAGGCCCCCAAGAGCAGCGGCGGACCCGCGGCGGCUUCGAGCGCAGUAGAAACCCUCGCUCGGGAGUCGGCGCGGGCCUUUCCGGCCGGCCAAGACGCGCAAGCAACCACCCAAAGGUUGACCUCGGAUCAGGUAGGAAUACCCGCUGAACUUAA